ensembl:snRNA U6 U6 spliceosomal RNA
AUGCUUGCUUCCAGAGCACAUAUACUAAAAUUGGAACGACAUAGAGAAGAUUUAGCAUGGCCCCUGCUCAAGGAUGACAGGCAAAUUCGUGAAGCGUUCCAUAAAAAA